AGCAGUCGCCACGGUAAUACGAAGGGGGCUAGCGUUGCUCGGAAUGACUGGGCGUAAAGGGCGCGUAGGCGGUCACGAUAGUCAGAUGUGAAAUUCCUGGGCUUAACCUGGGGACUGCAUUUGAUACUGUGUGGCUUGAGUGUGGAAGAGGGUCGUGGAAUUCCCAGUGUAGAGGUGAAAUUCGUAGAUGUUGGGAAGAACACCGGUGGCGAAGGCGGCGACCUGGUCCAUAACUGACGCUGAGGCGCGAAAGCGUGGGGAGCAAACAGGAUUAGAUACCCCCGUAGUCCCUGUCUCUUAUAC
rnacentral:rRNA from 1 species